ACGAAGGGGGCUAGCGUUGCUCGGAAUCACUGGGCGUAAAGCGCACGUAGGCGGACUCUUAAGUCGGGGGUGAAAUCCUGGAGCUCAACUCCAGAACUGCCUUCGAUACUGAGAGCCUUGAGUCCGGGAGAGGUGAGUGGAACUGCGAGUGUAGAGGUGAAAUUCGUAGAUAUUCGCAAGAACACCAGUGGCGAAGGCGACACCCUGGGCCGUACCUGACGCUAAGACGCGACAGCACGGGGAGCGAACGG
rnacentral:rRNA from 1 species